rnacentral:rRNA from 1 species
AUUGAACGCUGGCGGCAUGCCUAACACAUGCAAGCGAACGGAAACGAUGGGAGCUUGCUCCCAGGCGUCGAGUGGCGGACGGGUGAGGUAAUACUUAGGAAUCUGCCCAGUAGUGGGGGACAACAUUCGGAAACGGAUGCUAAUACCGCAUACGCACUACGGUGGAAAGUGGGGGACCUUCGGGCCUCACGCUAUUGGAUGAGCCUAAGUCGGAUUAGUUUGUUGGUGAGGUAAUGGCUCACCAAGGCGACGAUCCGUAGCUGGUCUGAGAGGACGAUCAGCCACACUGGGACUGAGACACGGCCCAGACUCCUACGGGAGGCAGCAGUGGGGGAAUAUUGCACAAUGGGCGGAAGCCUGAUGCAGCAAUGCCGCGUGUGUGAAGAAGGCCUGCGGGUUGUAAAGCACUUUCAGUAGGGAGGAAACAGUAACGGGUUAAUACCCCGGUACCUUGACGUUACCUACAGAAGAAGCACCGGCUAACUCUGUG